GAAUUUGGAAAAUUUUAUUCAUUUAUCUGAAUAUAACAAUCACCUCUUGCAUCCUUAUAGGCCCCUCCCUUUCUGUAUAGGCCACUCCUCAAACAUGCACAUUUGCAUAAUAUAAAUGUAUCUAGCACUACUGUUGUACCCCGCACUGUACCUGUAUAACUGCAUUUAUAUAGUGGGGGAUACAACUGGGUGGUUGGGCUGCAGAUGGGCCCCCUGUAAAAGAUUUCUACAUAUGGGAGCCAGAGACACACCAUUGUUACAUCACUGAAACUUUGUCAGCUGUGACCCAACAAGACCAAGGAGAAUAAUCAAAGCAUGAUCAGUAUUAGAGAAAUAACAACUUGCUUAUCAGUAAAACUAGGGAUUAGUCAGUCCCCCACAACACAAACAAUCUGGGGAGCAGAAGUGAUUCCAACUCAGGUGCGAGGAGGGAGGGGUGAUGCACCUGAGACAGUUAUAGUAGAAUUUGUGUUUUUACCAGUUUUGUAAAUUUCCAUCAAUGUGGUAGAAUUUGGAUAUGGAUUUUGUUUUAAUGAAAAAGGACCUCAAUGUGACAGACCUGUGACAAGCAUUGGAAAUGUUGAUUUGAUUUCUUUCUAAAUCCUGAAAGAAUUGCAGAGAUAUUCAAGGUUCCAAGACCUUUGGUGGCAGCAGUGGGAUAUUUUAGAACAUACAUCCAGAGGGCAAAGAGCAAUUUGGACCUUUUGUGAACAUACAAAUGGCACCAAUUGUCAUGAAAUGUUUGGUAAGUUUCAUGACAUUUGGAGGCAGCAGUGGGAUCAUUCAGAACAUACAUCCAAAGGACAAAAACAAUUUGGACCUUUUGUGAACACAAACAUGGAGGAAGAAACAGCAACUUCUUCUUUGGGUUCUGCCUUUCUAGCAGAGAUCCUGUGAUGGAUCCAUGUUGGGGCCUGUUCUUUCUGCUGCAGAUCACCUGCACUCAACUGGCUUCUCAGGAGGUCCUGGGCACAAUGCAGCACCACCAAUCACCUGCCUUGGAUUUUUUCAGGAUCCAACCAGAGAUCAGAAUUCUACAAACCAGUGAUCCUACUGAGAAAUGGACCAACUAAUGGAUCAGCCAAUUGGAACCUGCCCCUAGAUGAGUGAGCUGCUGCACUCACACUCACACUAAUGUUGGACUCUGCACUUCAAUUCUGGAAAACUGGUAUUUGUCAUAUAAACAGUCAUUGAAUAUAAAUGUAUUUUUAAGGA